ACAUCGGUAGUGCAACUGAUUAGCACGCACCCCCUGAGAGGAUGAAAAGCGGGUUCGAUUCCUGUCUGGCGCC